ACCAAGGUAUCGGUGAGCAGGCGGUGCCGGCUCCGUGCGUGUGUCCCCGUGCGGUACCGGAGCGGUUCCGUUUGGGUCCAGGGCCGGGUAAUAGGGCGCCACGCGCAGCUCCACGUCCUGCAGCCGAUGGGUUCUCCGCAGCACCCGCGGCACCACUGCACGGAGACACACACAGAGCCCAUAGAGCCGCGCUGGGGGGAGGGGGACCCCAAAACCCACCCCCCAUAACAGAGGGGGUGGCACCGGGAACCCCAAAUGGGGCAAAGUGGGACCCCACAGGGGUGGCACCGGGACGCCAAAGUGGGGCAGGGGCAGUGGGACCCCACAGCGGUGGCACCGGGACCCCUAAAGUGGGGCAGGGGCAGUGGGACCCCACAAGGGUGGCACUGGGAACCCCAAAGUGGGGCAGGGGCAGUGGGACCCCACAGGGGUGGCACCGGGACCCCCAUAUUGGGACCCCCAUAUUGGGAGCCCCCCCCCAUAGGUGACACCCAUAUCGGGACCCCCAUAUUGGGACCCCCAUAUUGGGACCUCCCCCCCAUAGGUGACACCGGG
ensembl:lncRNA